CUUUUCUGCGUGUGUCUAAUGCUGAGCACGGUAUGUCGAGGCACAUCCGCUUUGAAGCUAUCAGAGAGCAUGGCAGGCAGAGUAAAGAAUACAAUAUCUUUCGUGAAAAGCAUAUAUAAAGAUGACUUUAGAUGGUCAAUAGUGAAGAGUGCAGUAGUAUUUCUGGGUGGAGUUUUACUAAUCCAGACCAUUGCUAAUUUGGAACCAGAGCCAUUACCAGCAGCUCCCCAAGCUUAGACCAGGCAAGGAUAUUUAUGCAAUGGAAAUAUCACAGUUAAAAGGAAAUUGAAACCUCAGGGAUACAUCUGGCAUGACAAAAAUAUAAAUGAUAAAAGACUUGAGACAUUUUGCAGUGGUUUUAAGACACUGAACCCAGAGAUGGAGGUUUCAAGUGCUGUGAUUGGAAAGAGACAGCUAUCUAAAUACUAAAUUUGGAUAAAACCAGCACUUGGACUUUGGAAUAGACUUGAGAUGUAUUGGGGAAAAAUAAUUUUAAUGUAAAAAAUUACAUAAACAAUACAUAUACAUUUGUGUGGUGUAACAUGUUUAUAUACGAAUAAAGGUAUGUUCUAAAUCUGAAA